rnacentral:rRNA from 1 species
UACGUAGGGUGCGAGCGUUGCCCGGAUUUAUUGGGCGUAAAGAGCUCGUAGGCGGCCUGUUGCGUCCGCUGUGAAAGCCCGGGGCUUAACCCCGGGUCGGCAGUGGAUACGGGCAGGCUAGAGGUAGGUAGGGGAGAAUGGAAUUCCCGGUGUAGCGGUGAAAUGCGCAGAUAUCGGGAGGAACACCGGUGGCGAAGGCGGUUCUCUGGGCCUUACCUGACGCUGAGGAGCGAAAGCGUGGGGAGCGAACAGG